rnacentral:rRNA from 1 species
UACGUAGGGGGCUAGCGUUGCUCGGAAUCACUGGGCGUAAAGCGCGCGUAGGCGGCUUUGCAAGUCGGGUGUGAAAUCCCCAGGCUUAACCUGGGAACUGCAUUCGAGACUGCAUUGCUAGAGUAUGGGAGAGGGAAGUGGAAUUUCCGGUGUAGCGGUGAAAUGCGUAGAUAUCGGAAGGAACAUCAGUGGCGAAAGCGACUUCCUGGACCAAUACUGACGCUCAUGUGCGAAAGCGUGGGGAGCAAACAGG